GAUUUGGAAGGAUCGGAAGAAACUUCUUGAGAUGUUGGCAUGGUCGUAAGGAUUCACCUCUUGAUGUCAUUGCCAUCAAUGACACUGGAGGUGUAAAACAAGCUUCUCACCUUCUUAAAUAUGAUUCCACACUUGGAAUCUUUGAUGCUGAUGUUAAACCUGUUGGUAAUGAUGGUAUUUCUGUUGAUGGAAAGGUUAUCAAAGUUGUUUCUGACCGUAACCCUGCUAACCUUCCUUGGAAGUAAGUUCUUCUUUCAUUCAUUAAUUCAUUUUGUUGCAAUGAAAUUAUGUACUUUUAGAAAACAUUUUUAGCUAUUUUUACAUCACAUAAUGUGUACUUUUUGUUACUAACUACCAACAUGUUUAUCAACAUGGUAUGUAUGACAUAAGUGGUAGAUAUUCGAGUCUCUUAAAGACACUAUUGAAUAAACAACUUAAUUAAGCGUUUGUCAUAUAAGUGUUUAUGUAUAAUAUAUUUCUAUAACAAAAGAUAAAGUAACACCAAAUUAUUUUCGUAAGCUAUCUAGAAUAUUUUAUGCAAAUAAUCUUAAAAUGGGUUAGGGACAUAAUCUCUUCCAAGCUGCUUCCAUAAGCUCUUCCAAGCAGUAUCAAAGGUACUUAUGCUAGUAGAUAAACUCAAAUAAGUCAAUUCAAACAGUUCCUAAGUAUGUGAUUAGAGAUUUGAUUUGUAGUCACUGCAUAUAGAAAAAUAAAUGUCGGAAUAUAUUAACUCGUAAAUAGAUUUUAGUUAUCUCGUGAAAUUAAACACCGCAAUUGCGUGUGAAGGUAUCUUAGUUUACCUAAAAAACAAGGAAAUUGUUUUCUCAAAUCAAACAUAUUCUUAUGUGCUGAAAUUGCUAUUGAUAUUGCAG
rnacentral:lncRNA from 1 species